AGCAGCCACUCAUUAAAAGAGUGCGUAAUAGCUCACUGGUCGAGUGACUCUGCGCCGAAAAUUUAACGGGGCUAAACUAUACACCGAAGCUUGGGAUACAUCUAAUGUAUGGUAGGAGAGCGUUCUGUAUGGGGAGAAGUCGUAGCGAAAGCGGCGGUGGACUAUACAGAAGUGAGAAUGCCGGAAUAAGUAGCGAGAAUUAAGUGAGAAUCUUAAUGGCCGAAAGUCUAAGGUUUUUGGAGGAAGGUUCGUCCGCUCCAAGUAAGUCGGGAGCUAAGGUCAGGCCGAAAGGCGUAGCCGAUGCACAUACGGUUGAUAUUCCGUAACCAUCUGUAAUUUAAGCAAAGGGACACUUCAAAAGGGUGUGACCCGGGCGUUGGUUGACCCGGGCGUAAGGGACCGAAAUUAGAGUAGGGAAGCACACUUAGCUGAAGGCGAGAAAAGCUUUGCGUAUAGAAGCAGAUGCCCGUACCGCAAACCGACACAGGUGGACAGGAAGAGAAUUCUAAGGCCAGCGGGAGAAGGGUAGUUAAGGAACUCGGCAAAUUGACUCCGUAACUUCGGAAUAAGGAGUGCUCGAAAGAGCCGCAGAGAAUAGGCCCAGGCGACUGUUUAGCAAAAACACAGGUCUCUGCCAAAUCGAAAGAUGAAGUAUAGGGGCUGACACCUGCCCGGUGCCGGAAGGUUAAGAGGAGGAGUGAGAGCUCCGAAUUGAAGCCCCGGUAAACGGCGGCCGUAACUAUAACGGUCCUAAGGUAGCGAAAUUCCUUGUCGGGUAAGUUCCGACCCGCACGAAUGGUGUAACGAUCUGGGCACUGUCUCAACUACCCACCCGGCGAAAUUGUAGUACCGGUGAAGAUGCCGGUUACCCGCGGCAAGACGGAAAGACCCCAUGGAGCUUUACUGUAGCCUGAUAUUGGGUUUCGGAAAUCUAUGUACAGGAUAGGCGGGAGACUGGGAAACAUGAGCGUCAGCUUGUGUGGAGUCGAUGUUGGGAUACCGCCCUUAGGUUUCUGGAAUUCUAACCUGCGGCCGUGAAUCCGGUCGGGGGACAUUGUCAGGUGGGCAGUUUGACUGGGGCGGUCGCCUCCGAAAAGGUAACGGAGGCGCUCAAAGGUUAGCUCAGCACGGACGGAAACCGUGCCUCUGAGUGUAAACGCAAAAGCUAGCCUAACUGCGAGGGUGACGGCCCGAGCAGUAACGAAAGUUGGAGUUAGUGAUCCGGCGGUAUGUGAAUGGAAAUGCCGUCGCUCAACGGAUAAAAGCUACCCUGGGGAUAACAGGCUGAUCUCCCCCAAGAGU
rnacentral:rRNA from 1 species